CGAGGGGCAGCACGGGUAGCAAUACCUGGUGGCGACCGGCAAACGGGUGCGGAACACGUACGCAACCUUCCCAUAACUGGUGAAUAGCCCUCCGAAAGGAGGAUUAAUACACCGUAACAUAACGAAAAGGCAUCUUUUUGUUAUUAUAGGCUUCGGCCGGUUUUGGAUGGGCGUGCGCCUGAUUAGGUAGUUGGCGGGGUAACGGCCCACCAAGCCUGCGAUCAGUAACUGGUGUGAGAGCACGACCAGUCACACGGGCACUGAGACACGGGCCCGACUCCUACGGGAGGCAGCAGUAAGGAAUAUUGGUCAAUGGACGAAAGUCUGAACCAGCCAUGCCGCGUGAAGGAUUAAGGCCCUCUGGGUUGUAAACUUCUUUUAUCUGGGACGAAAAAAGGGUAUUCUUACUCACUUGACGGUACCAGAGGAAUAAGCACCGGCUAACUCCGUGCCAGCAGCCGCGGUAAUACGGAGGGUGCAAGCGUUAUCCGGAUUUACUGGGUUUAAAGGGUGCGUAGGUGGGUUUGUAAGUCAGUGGUGAAAUCUCCGAGCUUAACUCGGAAACUGCCAUUGAUACUAUAGAUCUUGAAUUAUCUGGAGGUAAGCGGAAUAUGUCAUGUAGCGGUGAAAUGCUUAGAUAUGACAUAGAACACCAAUUGCGAAGGCAGCUUACUACGGAUAUAUUGACACUGAGGCACGA
rnacentral:rRNA from 1 species